rnacentral:tmRNA from 1 species
GGGGGUGCACCGGUUUCGACUGGUACGGUUCGGGGUGCAGACUGCAGGUGGAGUGCCGAUCUCCUAACAUUCGGCGCCAAUUUAAUUGCCGAUUACGACAAUUACGCUCUCGCUGCAUAAACAGCGGAACGCGGAAACCGGUCCCGCGGCCUUGAGGAACCGGAUUUCCGUCGCAACCAAGGCUGGUCAAAUUUCGCUUUCGGACGAAGUGCGAUAAGAUAUUUCCGAAAUACGGAUGAGCCGCGCGCCGCGUAGCCAAGCCCUAUCCCGACAAACUAAUACGCGGCUAAACCUGUAGAGGCUUGUAUUUCGCGUAUUAGGACGCGGGUUCGACUCCCGCCACCUCCAUAA